CACGUAGGGUGCGAGCGUUGUCCGGAAUUAUUGGGCGUAAAGAGCUCGUAGGCGGCUUGUCACGUCGGGUGUGAAAGCCCGGGGCUUAACCCCGGGUCUGCAUUCGAUACGGGCUAGCUAGAGUGUGGUAGGGGAGAUCGGAAUUCCUGGUGUAGCGGUGAAAUGCGCAGAUAUCAGGAGGAACACCGGUGGCGAAGGCGGGUCUCUGGGCCGUAACUGACGCUGAGGAGCGAAAGCGUGGGGAGCGAACAGG
rnacentral:rRNA from 1 species